rnacentral:rRNA from 1 species
UACAGAGGUCUCAAGCGUUGUUCGGAUUCAUUGGGCGUAAAGGGUGUGUAGGUGGCGCCGUAAGUCGGGUGUGAAAUCUCGGAGCUUAACUCCGAAACUGCAUUCGAUACUGCCGUGCUUGAGGACUGGAGAGGAGACUGGAAUUUACGGUGUAGCGGUGAAAUGCGUAGAUAUCGUAAGGAAGACCAGUGGCGAAGGCGGGUCUCUGGGCCGAUACUGACGCUGAGGAGCGAAAGCGUGGGGAGCGAACAGG